AGUGAACGCUGGCGGUAGGCCUAACACAUGCAAGUCGAACGGCAGCACAGUAAGAGCUUGCUCUUACGGGUGGCGAGUGGCGGACGGGUGAGGAAUACAUCGGAAUCUACUUUUUCGUGGGGGAUAACGUAGGGAAACUUACGCUAAUACCGCAUACGACCUACGGGUGAAAGCAGGGGAUCUUCGGACCUUGCGCGAUUGAAUGAGCCGAUGUCGGAGUAGCUAGUUGGCGGGGUAAAGGCCCACCAAGGCGACGAUCCGUAGCUGGUCUGAGAGGAUGAUCAGCCACACUGGAAGUGAGACACGGUCCAGACUCCUACGGGAGGCAGCAGUGGGGAAUAUUGGACAAUGGGCGCAAGCCUGAUCCAGCCAUACCGCGUGGGUGAAGAAGGCCUUCGGGUUGUAAAGCCCUUUUGUUGGGAAAGAAAAGCAGCAGGUUAAUACCCCGCUGUUCUGACGGUACCCAAAGAAUAAGCACCGGCUAACUUCGUG
rnacentral:rRNA from 1 species